rnacentral:tRNA from 1 species
CGGCGAUAGCUCAACUGGUAGAGCUUCUACCCAGCGAGCGGAAUGUCGCCGGUUCGUUUCCGGCUCACGA